GGACAACCCGCCGAAAGGCGGGCUAAACCCGCGUACAUGCCACCGGGGCAUCCCGGAGGCAGGAAAGGCUUCGGCCGGACAGGGAUGGGCAUGCGGCGCAUUAGGCAGUAGGCGGGGUAACGGCCCACCUAACCGACGAUGCGUAGGGGUUCUGAGAGGAAGGUCCCCCACACUGGUACUGAGACACGGACCAGACUCCUACGGGAGGCAGCAGUGAGGAAUAUUGGUCAAUGGUCGGGAGACUGAACCAGCCAAGCCGCGUGAGGGAUGAAGGUACAGAGUAUCGUAAACCUCUUUUGUCAGGGAACAACGACUGGGACGCGUCCCCGGAUGAGUGUACCUGAAGAAAAAGCAUCGGCUAACUCCGUGCCAGCAGCCGCGGUAAUACGGAGGAUGCGAGCGUUAUCCGGAUUUAUUGGGUUUAAAGGGUGCGCAGGCGGUCUGUUAAGUCAGCGGUCAAAGCCCGGGGCUCAACCCCGGCCCGCCGUUGAAACUGGCAGUCUCGAGUUGGAGAGAAGUAUGCGGAAUGCGCGGUGUAGCGGUGAAAUGCAUAGAUAUCGCGCAGAACUCCGAUUGCGAAGGCAGCAUGCCGGCUCCACACUGACGCUGAGGCACGAAAGCGUGGGUAUCGAACAGGAUUAGAUACCCUGGUAGUCCACGCAGUAAACGAUGAAUGCUGGCUGUCCGGGGGGACUGACCCCUGGGU
rnacentral:rRNA from 1 species